rnacentral:rRNA from 1 species
GACAGAGGGUGCAAACGUUGUUCGGAAUUACUGGGCGUAAAGCGUGUGUAGGCGGUCCUCUAAGUCGGAUGUGAAAUCCCUGGGCUCAACCCAGGAAGUGCACUCGAAACUGGAGGGCUAGAGUAUCGGAGAGGUUGGUGGAAUUCUCGGUGUAGAGGUGAAAUUCGUAGAUAUCGAGAGGAACACCGGUGGCGAAGGCGGCCAACUGGACGAAUACUGACGCUGAGGAGCGAAAGCGUGGGGAGCGAACAGG